UGCCCAGCAACUCCUAUCCCUACCUCCGCGUGGCUCCGGCAAGGCUGCGAGCAAGCUAAGGGAAGAUCGGGUAUCCAACCCCGGUGGAAAUUCUGGUCGUAGGUUGACAAGAAAGG
rnacentral:ribozyme from 1 species